rnacentral:rRNA from 1 species
UCGAGAAUCUUCGGCAAUGGGCGCAAGCCUGACCGAGCGACGCCGCGUGUGGGAUGAAGGCCUUCGGGUUGUAAACCACUGUCAGAGGGGAUGAAAUGCAGGUGGGUUCUCCCAUCUGUUUGACAUAGCCUCAGAGGAAGGACGGGCUAAGUUCGUGCCAGCAGCCGCGGUAAGACGAACCGUCCGAACGUUAUUCGGAAUCACUGGGCUUAAAGGGUGCGUAGGCGGCGCGGAAAGUUGGGUGUGAAAUCCCUCGGCUCAACCGAGGAACUGCGCCCAAAACUACCGUGCUCGAGGGAGAUAGAGGUGAGCGGAACUUAGGGUGGAGCGGUGAAAUGCGUUGAUAUCCUAAGGAACACCGGUGGCGAAAGCGGCUCACUGGAUCUCUUCUGACGCUGAGGCACGAAAGCUAGGGUAGCGAACG